rnacentral:snoRNA from 1 species
CGCAAAGACUUGGCUCAUAUUCCGAGUGUCCAGGUGUGCUAGGGCAUUUGCAGAGAAUCUGCUGGUCUUGAUUCACUGGUGGGGGUAAUCGCUGCCCAGAUUAGAAACAUGC